rnacentral:rRNA from 1 species
CCUACGGGGGGCAGCAGUGGGGAAUAUUGGACAAUGGGGGGAACCCUGAUCCAGCCAUGCCGCGUGUGUGAAGAAGGCCCUCGGGUUGUAAAGCACUUUCAGUGAGGAAGAACGCCUGGUGGUUAAUACCCAUCAGGAAAGACAUCACUCACAGAAGAAGCACCGGCUAACUCCGUGCCAGCAGCCGCGGUAAUACGGAGGGUGCGAGCGUUAAUCGGAAUUACUGGGCGUAAAGCGCGCGUAGGUGGCUUGAUAAGCCGGUUGUGAAAGCCCCGGGCUCAACCUGGGAACGGCAUCCGGAACUGUCAAGCUAGAGUGCACGAGAGGAAGGUAGAAUUCCCGGUGUAGCGGUGAAAUGCGUAGAGAUCGGGAGGAAUAGCAGUGGCGAAGGCGGCCUUCUGGACUGACACUGACACUGAGGUGCGAAAGCGUGGGUAGCAAACAGGAUUAGAUACCCCAGUAGUC